GUGCUCAUUUUGACAGCACAUAGACCAAGAACUGAAGUGAUACAGAGAAAAUUAGCAUUGGCACUAUGCAAAUAUGACAUGCAUAUUCAUGCAACAUUCCAUUUUCAA
ensembl:snRNA U6 U6 spliceosomal RNA